UUCAUGGCAUCAGCAUCUAGUCAUGGGCUCCACUGUUCUUGAACCAGUCCUCACCAAGAUGUCAGUAAGAGUAGUGUCAGUGACCUGUGUGAAUGCACCAAGAAGAGAGCAAAGCGAGUAUUCAAGCCCCCAACUUACUGCAGGAUACCUGCACAUCUCUGGAAUAUAGGCAAUCCUAUGAAGAGUGUUCCUGAACCAGCUGUGAGCUGUCAGGCUUUUAACUAUUUGGAGCAAUUGAUUUGCAAUUUUGUUGAGCUCACUCUUAAAUAUCUGCCACAGCCACA